GUUUCUCAGUUUUCCAUUGAUUAAUCAAUCUUUAUUUUAUUAAAAUCGUUGAAAAAGUAUCCAUGUUUGAGGGAUUUAGUGGUUGUUAUUUCUGAUAUGUUAAAUAAUCUCAGUUUCAAGUCAUAGUUGACUAACUACUUCCUUUCACAGCGCUGCAAAGUACUGCAUGGCUGCACCAUUUUUUUUCUCUUUCAGUGGUUGUAAUAAAAACCAUGAUAACACACAAAUUUCAAUCCAUGUUUUAUUGAUAAAGGAGAGAAUAAAGACUUCUCAUAAUACAAAAUCACGUAACCCAAUAGAGGUCGCAAAAUGAAUAGACUGAACCCUUCAACACAAGGGACUUUGACAAUAUAUGAUUAAACUACAACAAUCGACAAUAACAAGCAAAAGAAUAGCCAUUUCAAAUGGGAACCCAACUGAUUAAAGAAUCAGUAUGUUCAGAAAACUGAGGCAUAGGCUGCUGCCAAAAUUAGAAACAGCGGAAUUGACAGAUUGAUUGAAUUUCCACUGGAUGAUCCAUCACCGGUUGAGGGAGUGGAUUUUGAUCCGGUUCCUGCAAGUGAAUUUCAACUUAAAUGGUUAACAUGGCCAAGGUUCAAAUUGGAUAAUCAAGCUCUGAAGCAUAACUAAAUCACUUCCCCAAUGUGUUAGUACCUGAUGGAACUGAAUUUGGAGACUCUGCUUCUGUUCCUGCUGGUGAGUCUGCUGGGGAAGCAGCUGUUGACAAAAACAUAUAUUGUACGUUAGCAGAAAGAUAUAGUUUAGAAUAUGGGGUAUGCUUAUCUUUGCAAGUAUAAACGUUCUCUUAUAGUUUCUAAUUUCUAUUCAUUGUAGUAUAAUGGUAGAUAUUUGCUUAGUAUAUCUCAAGGCGUGAUAUUCAUACAUAGGGUUGGAAUUGGAUGCACAUAUUUGUCGAGUUGAAUUGUUUCUCAACCCAAUCAAAUAGAAUUUUUGUUCUCUUACCAUUAGUAGUUUUACACUGACUGGUGGGUGGGGUUUGCACCUUGCAAGCACCAGGCAAGGCCAGAGCCUGAGUUUGAUUGAUGCUGAUUCCCAGUGACGAUGCACCCCCGCCGAGAACCUGACAUAGGCAUAGUGGCUGUGAACUCACCACACUGGCAAGAUUUGAGCAGCAUCCUGAAGACGGGGUUGAGGAAUUCCCUGUGAUAUAGUUAAGACAAGGUGACAGGCUGACUAACACAUUUGUACAACUCGAUUGCGCAGUAGCUCCAGCGCACAUCAUUGCGAUUACAACCAAAACCAAAUUCAUAUUCAUUUUGCUGUGUGCCAUUUGAAUUAUUUUAUGCAAAUGUGUUGAAAACCUUCGAAUAUUCUUUUUUGGGUUUUGUCUAAGAUCUUUGUAUACUCUGAAGACAAUGAUGGUUUUGGAAGAACAAUGUCUAGGCUUUUGUAGAGUAAGGACGGAAGAAGCUGACAAUAGUAAGUUGAUGUGGGUGAACAACUCCUCCUACUAUCUAACGAGAUAUAUUUGGUAUUACUAUGAUAAAAGGUAUUUCAAGCCUUGAUUAUAGGACCCUUGAUAUAUAAUAAUACUACUCCCAUAAGCUUUAGUGGAAAAUGAAAAAGAUAAGUCGGUUAAACAGGUUACCAACUUUUGGCAUCUGAGGUUAAGUGACCUCUAUUAUCUCUGUUUGUGAUAGGAUAGCUUUAUUGUGUCAACGUAGAAGACUUUGAAAAUAUGACUUGAGGAGAAAAGAACCACGUAUCUUUGGGGAGAGAUAAUAUUAUAUAUGCAACAUUUAACAAGGAGGGGAAAGUAGAGAAUGAACACGCCAUUUUCUUCUAAUUUACAGUAGUGUAAUUAGCAGGAGAUUGGUAAGCUAAACAAUUUAAAAUCCAAAAAAAAGAAAAAGGCAUGGUAGACAGUAGUAGUCUAACAAUUUUUUGCCUACUUCUAUCAGAUAAUUUAACUAGCUGGAUUGCGUCGAACUUUAGCCACUAAACACUUACGUCUUGAAUUCUGCACAUUACCCAAACAAUUUCGC
rnacentral:lncRNA from 1 species